UUGAUUUCAAUUUUAAUUUUUUAAAUUUUAAAUUAAAAUGAUCAAUUUUAAUUCGAUUCACCCAGUUGGUCACACAUACUUCAAAGUACCCAGGGUAUAGAUUUAUUAACAUCAUGUCGAGUAAUUAUCAAUCUUGUCUGAGUUUAUGAGAUAAAGGAGCUGUGAUGAUUCGAUGUACCAUCUGCUCCAAAAAGACAACUAACCUUGUGGAAACUAGCAAGUGUUGGACAUGAUGUGCUGUCUUCCCCUUUCCUUUGUCUUCUUGUCUUUGUGCUUGGUUUCUUUAGACCAUGAAUUUUGCAACUGGUGUUUUGUGUCCAUAAUUAAAAAUUAAUAGAUUUGCACUUGUACUGGAAUUCAAGUUUCUGAGAUUUCUAAAUCAAAAUCAUGAUUACCAAUAUAAUAUGCUUUUCUUUCCAUUUAUUUUUUUUCCUGAUUCCUAUCUAUUUAGACAUUUCUUUAUGAUGCUUGGAUCUAAGUGUGUGUG
rnacentral:misc_RNA from 1 species